GCGUCCCCUACCACAGCACUUCAGAGAAGCAGGAGAAUCACUUGAACCUGGGAGGCGGAGGUUGCAGUGAGCUAAGAUCACGCCACUGCACUCCAGCCUGCGGACAGACCAAGACUUCAUCCCCCCCAAAAAAAAAAGAUUGGAGGUGAUUUACAGUGAAAGACACAAAUAAAAUACAACUGUUCAAUGGAAAUAGAAAAUAAACACCAUAAAAGAGAGAAGAGAGGUAAUUUGUUAGCAUCAAGAGUCAAGUUGCUAUAUGGUCAAAGGUUAAAUUUAUCUCUAAAAAAUGGCAGGAUUCAAAGUUGUACAUACAUGUGAUUACUUCUGUUUUUUACACCCACAUACAGUACAAAAGAUUAUUAAAAAUAUUCCCAAAAGGCAGGUGCAAUGAUGCACACUUAUACCCCCAGCCACUCAGGAGGCUGAUGCAAGAGGAUCGCUUGAGCCCAGGAGUUGAAGUCCAGCCUAAGCAACAUAGUGAAACCCCAUCGCCAAAAAUAU
rnacentral:lncRNA from 10 species